AACGGUCUAUACCUGCGGUACCUGCGGAGGGAUCGUUACCGAGUUAUCAACUCCCAAACCCCUGUGAACAUACCCGAACGUUGCCUCGGCGGGACCGCCCCGGCGCCCCUAGCGGCCCGGAACCAGGCGCCCGCCGGAGGACCCAAACUCUUGCUUUAAACAGUGGCAUACUCUCUGAGUCUCACAAACAAAAAAUAAAUCAAAACUUUCAGCAACGGAUCUCUAGAUCGGAAGAGCACA
rnacentral:misc_RNA from 1 species